GUGCCCGCCGGUCAGCCUGGGCUGGGGCUGCCCUGGUCAGAGGCCUGGGCCUGCCUUUGCCCUCAAGCUGGCUCUUCAGGAGCAGCUUGGGUUCCACUUGAGCCCCAAGGAUGAGACUGGAGCCGGGGGCCUGCUGCUGCUGGAAGCAGAGCCAACGCAAAGAAAAGCCUUUGUUCUUGCUGGGGAAGCCCAGACCAUCAGAGCCGGAAGGGUCUUCCUAGUUGAUCUCAUGGUCUUCCAGCCCAUUCUACAGAUGGGAACACUGAGGCCCACAGAACAGAACUGCAUCUUCCAGGCUGAACAGCAAGGAGGAAGCAGCCAAGACCCAUGCCCAGGCUCUCUUUUUCAGCUGGCGCCAUUUUGCUCAUGGAUUGUUUCACUGUUGUUCCAGACCCUAGGCAUUCCUCUUCACCCUCGGCAUUUCCCUGAGUCCUCUACAAACCCUUGAAAAACAACCCAUGAUUAUCUCCAUUGAUGGAUGAGGAAAGUGAGGCCGG